ensembl:lncRNA
GUAUGGCAACCAAAAUCCAAUGUCUUCAAGACGUCAUAAUGGUAACGUCCAAUCAACGUCCAAUUAUAACAUCACUUGACUUUGAUCUUUAGUUUGUUUUUAGGUUGUGAUAUUAACUAACCUAAACCCAACGUCGAGCCAACGUCUCAGGCCAACGUCAGAUUGACAUCAAAUACUGAUGUUUAGUCGUCAGGUAUGGCAACCAAAAUCCAAUGUAUUCAAGACGUCAUAAUGGUAACGUCCAAUCAACGUCAAAUUAUAACGUCAUUUGACUUUGAUCUUUAGUUAGUUUUAGGUUGUGGCAUUAACUAACCAAAAUCCAACGUCGAGCCAACGUCUCAAGCCAACGUCACACUGACAUCAAAUACUGAUGUUUUGUCGUCAGGUAUGGCAACCAAAAUCCAACAUCUUGUAGACGUCAUUAUGGUAACGUCCGAUCAACGUCAAGUUAUAACAUCAUUUGAUGUUGAUCUGUAGUUAGUUUUAGGUUGUGGCAUUAACUAACCAAAAUCCAACGUCGAGCCAACGUCUCAAGCCAACGUCACACUGACAUCAAAUACUGAUGUUUUGUCGUCAGGUAUGGCAACCAAAAUCCAACAUCUUGUAGACGUCAUUAUGGUAACGUCCAAUCAACGUCAAGUUAUAACAUCAUUUGAUGUUGAUAUGUAGUUAGUUUUAGGUUGUGGCAUUAACUAACCAAAAU